rnacentral:rRNA from 1 species
UAGGGAAUCUUCGGCAAUGGACGAAAGUCUGACCGAGCAACGCCGCGUGAGUGAAGAAGGUUUUCGGAUCGUAAAACUCUGUUGUUAGAGAAGAACAAGGACGUUAGUAACUGAACGUCCCCUGACGGUAUCUAACCAGAAAGCCACGGCUAACUACGUGCCAGCAGCCGCGGUAAUACGUAGGUGGCAAGCGUUGUCCGGAUUUUUUGGGCGUAAAGCGAGCGCAGGCGGUUUCUUAAGUCUGAUGUGAAAGCCCCCGGCUCAACCGGGGAGGGUCAUUGGAAACUGGGAGACUUGAGUGCAGAAGAGGAGAGUGGAAUUCCAUGUGUAGCGGUGAAAUGCGUAGAUAUAUGGGGGAACACCAGUGGCGAAGGCGGCUCUCUGGUCUGUAACUGACGCUGAGGCUCGAAAGCGUGGGGAGCAAACAGG